AUUGAACGCUGGCGGCAUGCUUUACACAUGCAAGUCGAACGGUAACAGGCCGCAAGGUGCUGACGAGUGGCGAACGGGUGAGUAAUGCAUCGGAACGUGCCCAGUCGUGGGGGAUAACGCAGCGAAAGCUGUGCUAAUACCGCAUACGAUCUGUGGAUGAAAGCGGGGGACCGUAAGACCUCGCGCGAUUGGAGCGGCCGAUGUCAGAUUAGGUAGUUGGUGGGGUAAAGGCUCACCAAGCCGACGAUCUGUAGCUGGUCUGAGAGGACGACCAGCCACACUGGGACUGAGACACGGCCCAGACUCCUACGGGAGGCAGCAGUGGGGAAUUUUGGACAAUGGGCGCAAGCCUGAUCCAGCAAUGCCGCGUGCAGGAAGAAGGCCUUCGGGUUGUAAACUGCUUUUGUACGGAGCGAAAAGGCUCUCUCCAAUACAGGGGGCUCAUGACGGUACCGUAAGAAUAAGCACCGGCUAACUACGUGCCAGCCGCCGCAGUAAGAC
rnacentral:rRNA from 1 species